CCUGGUUGAUCCUGCCAGUAGUCAUAUGCUUGUCUCAAAGAUUAAGCCAUGCAUGUGUAAGCACACACUGUGUUAAAAGUGAAGCCGCGAAUGGCUCAUUACAACAGCCACAGUUUAUUAGAACUUACUCUCAUGGAUAACUGUGGUAAUUCUAGAGCUAAUACACGCACAAAAACUUCAACUGAAUUGGUUGAAGUGCUUUUAUUAGAACAAAAACCGAACGGCGUUUGAUGAAUGUUGAACGUCGAAACUGUUUGGUGAAUCUGAAUAACUAUUUCUGAUCGCAUGGUCUAGCACCGGCGACAUCACUUUCAAGUGUCUGCCUUAUCAACCUUCGAUGGUAGUCUAUGCGACUACCAUGGUGAUAACGGGUAACGGAGAAUCAGGGUUCGACUCCGGAGAGGGAGCCUGAGAAACGGCUACCACAUCCAAGGAAGGCAGCAGGCGCGCAAAUUACCCACUCCCAGCUUGGGGAGGUAGUGACGAAAAAUAACGAGACGAUUCUCGUUUGAGAAACGUUAUCGAAAUGAGUACGCUUUCCACACGCUAACGAGUAGCAAUUGGAGGGCAAGUCUGGUGCCAGCAGCCGCGGUAAUUCCAGCUCCAAUAGCGUAUAUUAAAGUUGCUGCGGUUAAAACGCUCGUAGUUGAAUUGUGGUCUUAGACAACAGUCCCCCUACAUAGGUGUGGCACGGUUGCUCGAGAUCUUCAUUCGUGGUUGCUGUUGUUGCUCUUGAUUGAGUGUCAAUGGUGCCUCGAGAUUUUACUUUGAAAAAAUUAGAGUGCUCAAAGCAGGUUGUGAUGCCUGGCACCUUUAGAAAAAAAUGCCGUGCGCUUUAUUGAAAACUUCAGUACAGGAACAAGAGGUUCUUUUUCGGCAGAAU
rnacentral:rRNA from 1 species